UGAAAAGUAUUGAUGGAAGAAAAUAAUGCUGCAUGUAUCUUUCAGAGAGCCGAAACCGGUGAGAAACGGCAGAUUAUGCAGUGUGAAGUUCCUUUCUGAACUGUGAGGCUGAAUACAGUAGGCCGAACCGGUGUAUCUGCCGUUAUACAGGUCUAGAGUUGAUCUGAUUUCAGAUAAUCAGGGUGGUGCCGCGAUAUCUCGUCCCUUUC
rnacentral:ncRNA from 1 species